ACACGAAGCCGUUAUCAUCAAUAUCGCGACACCGAUUUUGCAAACGCUCUCACUCCGAUUUUUCUCCGAUCUCAUUCACCCUUCGAUUUGCUCCGAUUUCACUCUUCUCCGAUCCUCUUUGCCGCAUUCCUCUUUCCUCGCGAUUGUUAUUCUUCGUUGAAAUUUGACGGUGUUCUCGAUUCUUCUCUGAUUUCUGCGUGAAUUUCGAUAUGGUUUGGUAAGUUAACCAAUACAACUCAAUUUGUGAUAUGACCACCUUUGCAUAUUGUAUGCAACUAUUUAUUUAUGGGGAGAAAAUUAUAUAGUCUUAAUGAUGUCUAUGAUAAGGCUAAAAAAUGAUUGGACCAGAUCACAUGAUAGAAAUGAAGAUGAUCGAUGAGGCACACAUGGAGAAGGGGAAAAUAAAGUCUUUCACUUCAUACUGUGGUGGACUUCCAUUUCCUGAAGAUGCUAACAGUCCAUUAGCAUAUAAAUUCAGUUCUUCAACAACAGCCUAGAUGAGACUGCUUACUUUAAAAUGAUCCUAAACCGGGAAAAUGUUACCAAUCCUGUUGUCAUGGUUCAGCCUUCAUUGAUUUCGUAUUCGUUACAUUCUGGUCCUGAGCCUGACCUUCUCGAUGUCGCAGCCAUUGCAGACAGGGUUCUGCUUUUGUACUCGUUUUUCACAGUCGCUAUUUUUCAUGGUUCAACCAUUGCCAAUGGCACAAAGCUGGAUAUCAUAAUGAACCAGAACAUCAGGCAUUUGCGCAGUUGCAACGAGCUCCUCAUGAUGAUUCAGAUUUAGUAGUUCAAUAGAAUUAUAGUCAGUGUCUCCUGUGACUUUAAUUAAAUACAAUUGUAGCAUAUGGCUUGUAGAUGUUUCAACUUGGAAUGUCCGGUGGGGUCCUUAAUCCAAGACCAGAGGUCCUCUGAACUAAUACCUAUGGAGCAUUUAGAUGACGAAGAAGCAUAUUGGCUAGAUGCUAUUGAUGAGGUUUGUUCAUACAAUGCUUCCUCGAACUCUUGGGUUGAAGCUGCUUCCUUGUCAACUGUUAGGUAAAUAUCCUCA